CCUACGGGGGGCAGCAGUGAGGAAUAUUGGUCAAUGGACGAGAGUCUGAACCCGUCAAGUAGCGUGAAGGAUGACUGCCCUAUGGGUUGUAAACUUCUUUUAUAUGGGAAUAAAAUGUUCCACGUGUGGGAUUUUGUAUGUACCAUAUGAAUAAGGAUCGGCUAACUCCGUGCCAGCAGCCGCGGUAAUACGGAGGAUCCGAGCGUUAUCCGGAUUUAUUGGGUUUAAAGGGAGCGUAGGUGGAUUGUUAAGUCAGUUGUGAAAGUUUGCGGCUCAACCGUAAAAUUGCAGUUGAAACUGGCAGUCUUGAGUACAGUAGAGGUGGGCGGAAUUCGUGGUGUAGCGGUGAAAUGCUUAGAUAUCACGAAGAACUCCGAUUGCGAAGGCAGUUCACUGGACUGCAACUGACACUGAGGCUCGAAAGUGUGGGUAUCAAACAGGAUUAGAUACCCGAGUAGUC
rnacentral:rRNA from 1 species